AUCUGUGUCCAGAACAAGAGGAAAAGUAUUAGAUUGGGAUGAGGUGAAAACUAUGUCAUUUUAAACAGACCAAGUUUCCUUAAGCAAUCAUUUUGUUACUAGGUGUUUACCAAAAAGGUUAAAUCUAGCCUGAUAUUGAGAAUAGGAGCACUGGGAUGGCAGUGAGCCAAGGAAGACCAGGCAAGAAGAGGGAUGGAUUUUUUCCUUCCUUAGACUGGACUUCAGCCAGUCAGCAUUCAUGGCUGGCCCCUGGAAGCCCCUUCAAAAGGUGGCUAUGGUGGCCCAAAACACAACCUAUCUCCAACAUUUAUGAACAGGACAGAAAAAGUUAAAAAUUAGUCAUGGGCUUCUCUACCUUUACAAAUUCUUGGAGUGCCACUCUGAGAAAUGGACAAAGAUACAAAUGGAGAAGGGAGAGAAUGCUGAGUAAGACUAAGGUGAUUUUCAUUAAGAGAGCCAGGUACUCCCAGACCAAAGAAAAUCACAGCUCCCUGAAGGAGGUAGCAGAAGACAAGCCAGCCAGCAGAAGCUAGAGUUUGAGGGAAAAGGGCUAAGGGAGAGCGAAGAUAGAAAGUAUGGCCUAGAGGAGGAGACAGCUGCUAGACUUUGUGCAAUUUGGGGAAGAGGUGGCAUGUAAAGUGGGUUGCUAGUUUGCUCUAUAUGAUGCAAUGUAAUGCCCCUCUUCUGUGCCUUGUCCAUGGACUUCCAUAAAGACUGAAAUCCUUUUACAAGGUUUUAUUGAAGUUGGAAGUGUUCUUCUUUUGAAUGCUACCCUUUGUUAAGACUGAUGCAAAGUCUUACCCUGGUUGCAUUCUGGUGAGCUCUGGAAGAGCACUGCGUACCUGAGAUUACCUCAGAUCUGCUAUCUGCUGCAUUUAUAAAGAGUAUGUAUCAGGGAAAAUGCUUUGGGUUUGAAGUCAAAAGAUACUGGCUUCAAUCAUAAUUGCUUGAAGGAGUUGUUUAGCCUCUCUGCUUCCUAAUUUUGAAAAGAAGAUAAUUUCUAAACUGAUAUGGUAUGUACAUAUAUAUAUACACACACAUAUACAUAUAUAUACACUUUUAUAUAUAUACACACACACAUAUAUAUAUGGUGGUCCUCAACCAGGAGGCCACUGAAUCACCAUGAAAGGCUUUUAAAAGCCCAUGUGCCUGUAACAAGGAAUGAAGUACUGCAUACAUGCUACAGCGUGGAUGAAUCUCAAAAACCCCAUGCUAAGUGAAAGAAGUCAGGCACAAAAGUCCACAUAUUAAAUGAUUCCAUUUAUAUGAAAGGUCCAGAAAAGGUAAAUCUACAGAGACAGAUCAUAUAUUAAUAGUUUUCUGGAGCUAGGGGUGGAAAUGGGGAAUGAUGGCAAACAGCAAGUUUUCUUUUUGGGAUGAUGGAAAUUAUUUAAAAUAAGAUUGUGGUGAUGAUGGUUGUACGACUAAUACAAAUAAUCAUUUAAUUGUUCACUUAAAGUGGGUGAAUUUUAUGGUAGUAAAUUAUGCCUCAAUAAAGCUUUAAAUAAAUAUAUGUGCCCUCAUUUCUCCCAAUUUGAUAGUCCUGGUGGGAAAAGAGGGGGAUGUGUAUUCUGAAAGAAUUUCCUUCAGUUCUUAUACGUGCCUUCUCUGCUCCCACUUAAGAAUCACUGAUAUAAGCCCUUGUUCCUCAAAGAGUAGUCCAUGGGCCAGGAGCAUUAGCUAUCCCCUGGGAACUUACUGGAAAUCCAGACUCUCAGGCCCCAGUGCAGAACUGUGCUUUGUGUCUUGAAGUUGGUGAGCACAUUCAAGUUUUGGAAGCACUGCUCUAGAACCUUCUGCAAACAGUGACAGACCAGCUUUCCCAAGGUCUUUGCUCUUGUCAUGCCCUUGUCCUUUAAGAAUCCAACAUUUGACAGGAGGAGUCCUUUCUCUGAG
rnacentral:lncRNA from 10 species